rnacentral:rRNA from 2 species
UUGUAAGAGAAGAACGUGUGUGAGAGUGGAAAGUUCACACAGUGACGGUAACUUACCAGAAAGGGACGGCUAANUACGUGCCAGCAGCCGCGGUAAUACGUAGGUCCCGAGCGUUGUCCGGAUUUAUUGGGCGUAAAGCGAGCGCAGGCGGUUUGAUAAGUCUGAAGUAAAAGGCUGUGGCUUAACCAUAGUAUGCUUUGGAAACUGUCAAACUUGAGUGCAGAAGGGGAGAGUGGAAUUCCAUGUGUAGCGGUGAAAUGCGUAGAUAUAUGGAGGAACACCGGUGGCGAAAGCGGCUCUCUGGUCUGUAACUGACGCUGAGGCUCGAAAGCGUGGGGAGCAAACAGGAUUAGAUACCCUGGUAGUCCACGCCGUAAACGAUGAGUGCUAGGUGUUGGGUCCUUUCCGGGACUCAGUGCCGCAGCUAACGCAUUAAGCACUCCGCCUGGGGAGUACGACCGCAAGGUUGAAACUCAAAGGAAUUGACGGGGGCCCGCACAAGCGGUGGAGCAUGUUGUUUAAUUCCAAGCAACGCGAAGAA